rnacentral:rRNA from 1 species
UACGUAGGGGGCGAGCGUUGUCCGGAAUUAUUGGGCGUAAAGAGCGUGUAGGCGGCUUGGUAAGUCUGUCGUGAAAUGCUGGGGCUCAACCCUGGACGUGCGGUGGAUACUGCUUGGCUAGAGGACGGAAGAGGCGAGUGGAAUUCCCGGUGUAGCGCUGAAAUGCGCAGAUAUCAGGAGGAACACCAGUAGCGAAGGCGGCUCGCUGGGCCGUUCCUGACGCUGAGACGCGAAAGCAUGGGGAGCAAACAGG